rnacentral:ncRNA from 2 species
CCCCUGCCUACCAUCCACGGAUCGCCCGCGCAUGGGGGAAGCCGGUGCAAAUCCGGCACGGUCGCGCCACUGUAACCGAACGCCCGGGCCUUUCCAGGGCGUGCGGAAGCCAGACCCCCCGUCGCAUGACACAGACC